CCUACGGGUGGCAGCAGUGGGGAAUAUUGGGCAAUGGGGGCAACUCUGACCCAGCAACGCCGCGUGAAUGAUGAAGGUCUUCGGAUUGUAAAGUUCUUUUCUAAGGGAAGAAGAAAGUGACGGUACCUUAGGAAUAAGCCUCGUCUAACUACGUGCCAGCAGCCGCGGGAAUACGUAGGAAGUAAGCGUUAUCCGGAAUGACUGGGCGUAAAGGGUGCGUAGGGGGUUUGACAAGUUAGUUGGGAAAGUCCGGAGCUCAACUUCGAAACUACUACUAAAACUGGUAGACUUGAGUGCAGGAGGGGCAGUCGGAAGUCCUAGUGUAGCGGUGAAAUGCUUAGAGAUCAUACAGAACACCGAUUGCGAAGGCAGCUUACCAAGCUACUUCUGACGUUGAGGCACGAAAGUGUGGGUAUCGAACAGGAUUAGAUACCCGAGUAGUC
rnacentral:rRNA from 1 species